UAGAGUUUGAUCCUGGCUCAGGAUGAACGCUAGCUACAGGCUUAACACAUGCAAGUCGAGGGGCAUCAUGAAGUUUGCUUGCAACUUUGAUGGCGACCGGCGCACGGGUGAGUAACGCGUAUCCAACCUUCCCUAUAGUAGUGGAUAGCCCGGCGAAAGUCGGAUUAAUACACUAUGUUAUUCGAUGAGGACAUCUGAGCUGAAUCAAAGGCUUGCCGCUAUAGGAUGGGGAUGCGUCUGAUUAUAUAGUAGGCGGGGUAACGGCCCACCUAGUCGACGAUCAGUAGGGUUCUGAGAGGAAGGUCCCCCCACAUUGGAACUGAGACACGGUCCAAACUCCUACGGGAAGGCAUCAGUGAAGGAAUAAUUGGGUCAAUGGGCCGAGAGACUGCACCAGCCCAGCUAGCGUGCAGAUG
rnacentral:rRNA from 1 species